rnacentral:rRNA from 1 species
UACAUAGGGUGCAAGCGUUGUCCGGAAUUAUUGGGCGUAAAGAGCUCGUAGGUGGUUCGUCACGUCGGAUGUGAAACUCUGGGGCUUAACCCCAGACCUGCAUUCGAUACGGGGCGAGCUUGAGUAUGGUAGGGGAGUCUGGAAUUCCUGGUGUAGCGGUGGAAUGCGCAGAUAUCAGGAGGAACACCAAUGGCGAAGGCAGGACUCUGGGCCAUUACUGACACUGAGGAGCGAAAGCGUGGGGAGCGAACAGG